rnacentral:lncRNA from 1 species
UUUGUUGAGUAUUUCAGGACUCUAGGUGCUGGUCUGAUUGUCCCAUGUCAAAAAACUGGAGUGGCCUCUAAAGCCAUGUGUGCUGUUAGCUGAGCUUUUGUGAAGAUUGAAAGAGAUUUAUAUGUGCGACUUCCAGCGUAAGCUAUGGCAUCUGACAACUGGUGGUCAUAUCUAUUCAGCUGGUGUGGGUUCCUAAAGAUGCUCUAUGGAAUGGGAGAAAGGAAACGGCUGGAAGUAUGGAAUGUAAAAGUAAUACAAAUUGAGAACCAAUGAGAAGAAUGUGGUUGUCCUGUCAGUAAGACAUCUCCUCUCUCUGGGAAUCUACAAAAAUGUACUAAACUGUAAUACAGCAAAUAAAAUAUAUUAAUGGAAAUGAACUCUGGCAAACAACAAGUUUUUAAGUUAUAAAAAAUGUCUUUGCAAUCCUCUUUC